AGCAAUUCAGAUUUUCAUUCCAUGGAAACAUAAGAAAUCAAAUUAAACAUAAGAAAAUUCAACAAGAAUACAUCUUUCCAAAGGAAAUCCAUCCACCUUACAACAUCAACAUAUCCAGUGUAGUCCCACAAAGUGAGGUAUGAGGAGAAAAAGGUGUAUGAGACUCUACCUCAAGUUGAACAAAAGAAAAAGUCGUAAAGAAAGUACAACGACAAUAGAUAGUAACAAAAACAACAUAUAGCAACAGAAUAGUACUACAACAAACUAAUAAUAUAAAGGAACUAUAUGAAAUAAUAAAUAAUAGCACAAAUUGAAGAACAAGAAACUACAAGAGUAGUCCUAUGGGUACAUCCACUAGGGGUCGAGCUAGCAUACGAACUAUGGAUUCGACCGAAGCCAGUAACUUUGUUCAAAAUUCUUUAUUUGUCUCAAAAAAUCUCUUGAAUAAGUAUAAAUUAUUAAUUUAAGAUCCAAUAAUUCAAAUAAACUAAAAUUUCAAAUCCAUAAACUUCAAAUCCGAGCUCCGUCUCUUCCAUCCACCAUACAUAAAACAAUCUUUUUUAUAUAUUAAAAAAAAAUGAAGAAAUUGAAAUAAGUACAAGUUUG
rnacentral:lncRNA from 1 species